AAUGAAACAAAAAUUUUAGAUGUGUUUUACAAAAUUUAACAAGCGACAAAAAUAAAUUAUUAAUCCUCAAAAUUAUUAGCCGCGUCCACAAAAUGGCUAAAUCAGUGGAGCGUUACACAGAAAUUGAUAUGAAUGAGUCUGAAGGUGACGAUGAGCAUUUCCAAUCGCAACAGCCUAAAGUGAAUUCUGAUGUUUAUGUUAAUGGAUUUGUCGUUGUUAUGGAUAUCAUUUCCCUGCUCUUCAAGCUGCUGAUAGUGUCUCUGUUCGUAUACGUCAUAUACAGUUUGUGGCGCACUAAGCGUGAUGUCUUCGACGAUGAAGAUGAUUGUCCAAUCUUUUAAUUCUUUCCUCUACCACAGUUAUAAUUCAGUUGUUUCCUAUGUGCCAUCACUGCUUCAAGACUGUGGGAAUAUCAUAUAACAUAUACAGUUUCCAAUCGCGACAACAUCAAUGUUCCUCCUGUCAAACAAAACCUUGUUUCGAAUGAAUCAAGGAUUAAGUAAUAAAGAUUUUUAAAUUAAAUUUUGAAACCAAUUAAGGUAUAAUGUUGAACGGUUUGUUUGCGACUUGUUAUAUUGUUAUAUUGUAUUCGUUUAAAGGACACCUGGAACCUAACCUUGCUUGAAAAAUAUGAUUGUGAACCUUUUUUCCAUAUUUUAUAUAAAAAAUGGAUUGGUGUGGCACAGAGAAGAUAAAUUAAUUAAGUAAACCUCGCUAUACAUUAACUGACGAUAUUUGAGUAUUCCGACACAUUAUCAGUUUUUUGGAUAUUUAAUAUUUUAUUUAUUUAUGUAUUUUUUAUCAACUGGCAUCUGAUAAUGGUGAAAUGAAAUAUAAUCACAUAGAUAUGGUUUUU